GUAUCCAGUGUGGGCGCUGGAGUCCUCCUAGCCGCCAACUUCCAUGGCUCCAGCAGGCAGCGAAGCCAAAUAAACACUUGGUGGGGACUGGAAGGAAGCAGAGUUACAGGGGCGACGGGAUUGGGUGUGGGUGGGGGUGGGGGGUGAAAAGCAGCGCCCCUUUGCAGAUGAGGAGGUAAGCAGCGGCCCCCUCCCUUUCCUCCCCACACGCACACACUUGACAGGCGGACCCGCUCUCUCUCUCUCUCUCUCUCUCACACACACACACACAACGCCACCGCAGCCCCUCACCUGCUCCUCUCCCACCCGCCCCCGCUCGCGUGCAGCACACACACACUUCUGCCUCAGCGAUUAAUUAAAGUCACACUUUCUCUCUCUCCCUCCUUCCCCAGGUCUCUCCCGCCUUCCCCUGCCAGGGCGUCCCGCCCUCCCUUCUUCCCCUCCUCCUCCCCCUCCUUCUCUUUUUCUUCCUCCUCCUCCUCUUCCUCCUCCCCCCCCCGCCAGCCACUCCGUCUGCGCUCAGCUCUACGGUUUGUGCCCCAGCCACAAAAUGGAGGACGACGACGGUGCUAGCAGCAGCCGCAGCCACAGCAGCCUCCGCCUCCUCCUCUCUCCCCCCCUCCCUCCCUCCCCAGACCAGGGAAAGAGAGCAGAGACGCUGCAGAGCGGGGAGCGCGCGCCACGGAGGGAGCGCGCGAGCGUACGGGGCUCGCGCAUUGCGGGGCAAGCCGAGGGGGAAACGGUGCAACCUUUGACUGAGAACAGCACUGCAACCCCCGGCAGGGCCUCCUUCUCUCUCUCCCCCCCCCCCAUCUUUCUAGAAACGUGCCGCUUGCCGCUAACAGUUUCUUUUUCCUUCUUCCUAUCUUAAUUUCUUUUUUUUUCGGUUUCUUAUCUUUCCCGCUGCAGCCCACGGUUUAUUUUUAUUUAUUUUUUUUGCUUUGGUUUUUAUAAGCAGCAUGUUGAUUUAGGACGUCAAGCCCUCUGCGUUUUUAAAAGGUCUGGGCUGUUCAAAGGGGGCGAAAAAGAGCGAACGAGGGACGACGAAAACAGGCAACAAACCUUCAGAGAGGAUUGAAGGGACAGCGCUGACGCGUUAAGCCGAGAUGACAGGAAAAGAUUUAGUUUGAAGACUACUUGCAUUGUCUGCUUACCUGCAUUCUUUCUUGCUACCCAUGCAAGGAAACAAUAAUGACAUUCAUCCAAUCAUGAGGCAGAGAUGCAAGUCACUAUUCACUAUCAUUUCCUCGCUUCCCAACUUUAUACACAUCUGUGUGUCUUCAAAAAUGGAAGCUAUUCAUACAUAGUAGGAAAAGGAGAGAAAAAGAAAAUGGAAGAAUUGCCUGAAGAUCAUCUAGCUGAGCCUCUACAUAGGGAUCCUUCUCUUGCGGAGUGCAGAUUUGAUCAGAUAGGAAAAGAACCUUCCAGUCCCAGAGUUUCCCAGAGUGAACCAAUACCAAAGAAAAGAAGGAAAAAUUUUCCAGGUACUGGACUAUUGGCAGCAUCAUUUGACUUCUUAAAGACAAAGUCUUUUAUUUGUGACAAAUAAGCGAUGAAAAAAAACCCUUUGUAUCAACAAGAAGCAUUUGUGCUAAGACUCCUGAUGGUGCUACAAAACUCUGGAUGUCCUUUUAGAGACAGAAAAUAUUUAUUUUGAUGGUUCUGGAUGCAAAGUGAUCCACCAGUACAGCAAACCAUAUUCUCCAAUUCCAUAACUUGUUCCCAGAAGAAGAUUGAAAGCAUCUUUAAUUUAGACUCAUUCCCCUCCCAAACAAACAGGCAUCAUCUAUUGAAUAUAUUUUAUGAGUAGAGGCAUUCUAAACAAUGUUUGUUCAGAAAUAUGUAGUUGAGCCAAGGUAGGGUAGUUUGGCGAUAAAUCAAAAGAAAACAAAUAGGGUCCUUUACAGACCCCCCCAAAGGUUCAAAUGAAUAAUGUGAAGACCAAGGUUCAAUAUAGGUUGAUAAUAAUAUGCUGCUUGCAGUAAUGUUUAUCUGACCUUGAUGGAAUGUUCUGCAGAAGUAAAUUCCUGGAAUAAGGUACUGAAUAAUACAGAUGAAAAUCUCCAGUAACAUCACAACAUAAUAAACUGCCAGGAAGAACUAGCAUUUACUGAGUCAUAACUGCUUUCUGUAUACUUUCUUUAUAUGCUGAAAUAGUUUGUGUAACAAUUGGUUUAAUAGCUGGUUAUUUUCUUUUUAUAGAAGCAAGGCAUUUUUGCCCUCACCUUUGGGGACUUGGUCCCAUAAUUUGUAUUUCAUUUCUUAAUUUCCACAAUGGCCUCUCCAAUGAGGCCAAAGUGUAAAAUUCUCCCCAGCAAUUUUGACCCAGUUCUUGCGAAUUCAGAAUGCUCAAACUUACAUAUCUGCUAACAAGGAUGAAAAAAAAAAAACAUUCCAAUUUAUUUACACUAGCAGAGGGACCAAAGGAGCAGAGAGUGACCCUAGUCUCAAUAUUAUAUAUCAACAAGCUCUACAUUUAGUACAUUCAGUGGUAUUAACAAUUCUCAAUAGAGCAGAUAAAUAUUCCUCUACUCCUGAAGUUGCCAAAAAUAUAACCCUCAGAUUACACCCUGCAAAAUAAUAAUUCAGACCUCUAAUAAGAGCAAUAUGUUCUCCCAGGUGCCCAAGAGUUAGAAAGGGGCAGAAUAGAGAAAAGAGUUAAGCAAAAGUGGGUAUCAGAAAAGCAGAAAAAGAAGUAUCGCAUUCAUAUUUGACUUCAUCCACCACUAACCAGAAUCUGACUCUGCCAAAUAAUGCUGGCAAAGUUCUGCACCUUUGCUGUAGCUCGUGUAGCAGCAUCUAAUUUGGGGGUGGGGUAUUAUAUCCCACACGUUUACUACAACAGAUAAAGAACAACUGAGAUGAAGCUCAUUAUAAACAUUCCCCAUCUCCCUUUUUCUCCUUCGAACAUAUAUUGUGGCCAUGAAAAAUAAAAGUGCUACAGUGGAUAACUGGUUGGACUAGGAUAGUGGAAAUCCAAGUUAAAUUCUUUUUUAGCCAUUGAAAAUAUUUGAAUGGGACAAGGUAUUCUGUCUCAACCCAACUUUUAUAAUUGUGGAGGAAGAAUGCAGGAGGAGAUGCUAUGGACACUAUCACAAGAGUUUUCUUUUUUGGGGAGAGAUGGAAGUGGGUAUAAAUCUAACAAAUAUUUUACAGGUGUUUUUGGAAUAUGAAUGUCUUUUACUCAGCUAGGGUGGCCAUAGUUAGGCAAUCUGGACAAUCAAUAGUCAUUAAUCAAACUGUUGCCAUUUCUUAUAUUUCUUUGCUGCCAUCUUGCAGUUAUUUGGAUCUUUGCAGCCUAGGUAUAGUAGGGUGCCUUGACUCUUUAGCUCUUGACAAUAAAUGCCAGAGGAAGCACAUUCUUAAUGAUAAGUUGCACUCAGAAAAAUGGGGCCAGUUGUAGUUUUGCUAUAUGCUUCAUUCAGUUUCCUGUUAUUGAUAGUUAUCAGGAAAAGAGCUUUGGUUCAAGAGAAGUCACCUUUUAAAAAAAGUUUGUUUCCUUGAAUAACUAAAAUGUAAGGAAGAUUAUGUUCAGUAUUCUGAACUACUAGAAACUACUUAUAACCAGCUUCCAAAAACUAUCAAGGUACAACUUUUACUUAGAUGAAUAAAGCUAUUGUUAACAUAAAACUGAUCUCACUUUUUCACAAUUAUAAUAAAGGAAGAUGAUUAGGAUUUGCAAAAGGUUUAAUUCUCAAAAAAGGCUGUUUUGAAAGUUCCAGGCUGGGAAUGAAAUGCCUUGUGUUUUGGAGUUAUAUACCAUGUUGUUUUAACUCUCUGACAUUCUGAAAUAAGCUUUAAAAAUAUGCAGGCCAAGGAAACCCGGAGCAUUAUUAUAUUCAGUAAUAACUACCAGCAAAGAAUCCAUCCUCACAACCAGUGGCAAAAACUAAUUUCAAUAAAGAGAAAAGUAUCGUCCUAAAUGCAUACAGAGAUGGAGAAAUAGUUGUGGACGUAAGAAAAAGGCUGGUAGAUAGAUUUAUGCUGAUUUUUUGGAAUUUUCAGCUAUAGAGAAAUUGGUUUUCACAGAUUGCAAUAUGUAACUGUGAUAAAAGAAAUAAACAUUGUCCCUGUUUGUGUGUAUUGACUUUCCUUUUCAGAUAGUUUGACAGGCGAAAAAUAUACUUUGUACUUUGUAUGUACAGAGACGGUUGCACCAAGGUAUGCACAGUCCUCAUUGGAAUGAAACAUUACUUAUCUGGACCACACCCCAAUGCAGUCUUUCAGAACAUAACAUUCUUUCAGUGUAGAAGUUUUAUUAUAAACUACUUGGAAAGUUUUGGCUAUUGGGCACUUAAAAUUUUUUUAUAGAACAGAACAGAACUGACAGACCAGCCCUGCAAAGUUAGUAUGAUCCAGAGGAGGAAAAAUAAACAUUCUAGAAUUUUCCAGAAUGUUGAGUUUUAAAAAUUCACCAGUUGGUAUGUUGUUGAAGAUUUAAGUUGCCAAAGGCAACAAUUAUGUUGUGUUUGUUGACAUUUGCAAACAGACCGAAAUAUAAAAAAGUGCAUGCUAAAUGCAACAUAAGCAUUAGAAAUAAGCUUCUGGCCAAUAGAUAGAGAAAUGUUUUUUGCUCUUGUUUUGUUGUUUGUGAACCACAUUUGAAGAUUGUUUUUAAAAACUAGUUGUUGCUUUAUGGGGUUCAGCUCUGAUGCUGUUUAAAUGGUUUAUUUUAAAAUCAUCCCCUUGACCAUUUUUUCUUGAGGUUGAUAGGUAGUUGGCAUUUAGCACAGACUACUAACCUAUCUACUUUGUUACUGUAGAUUGCAAAAUGAAAAAGCAUUGCCCUUUUACCAUUUCCAAUUUCUCAGCUUUUAAGUUCAGGAAAAAAAACCCAGGUGAUGUUUUCUUCUGAACUUAAUUAUUGUGUAACUCACUGUGGUGAAAAAUGGUGACCCUUUAAGCAUUUUUGUUGCAGUUAAUUAUUUGGUGGGUCAAAAAAAAUCCCUUCCAGUUCAUACUAACUUGAACAUUGGAUGAAAAGGUAGCUUAUCCCAAUUCCUACCCUCCCUGUUGCAGUGAGGAGUCAAGGUGCAUCAAUAUGAAAAGAAGAGGCUGUUGUUUGAAUAAGACUCGGAAAGUUAGACAAAAUUGAAGUAUUGAGAUUUGCUUUUUUAUGGAAUGUAUAAGCUGACUCUAUUUAUGCUCAGCCUCUUUAUUUGCAUUAUUUUUGCAAAAUAUCAGUAAAAUUCCACUAAAAUCUUUGCAGGGAAAUAAAAUCAGACCAAUGACAAAAAGGUGUAGUAAUUGUUCUGCAUUUACAAUAUGUAGAUUUAUAAUUCUAUCUUGAACUUUGAUUUUUAUUGUCAUUAUCAGUUUUUAUUUGCACAGAAAAAAAUCUGAGUUAAUAAUUUCUGAUUCUGAACUAUGUGGUUUAAAACAGAAUGUUUAUUCUGGCAUUCUCCUAUGAAAAACACCAAAAUAUUUGUAGAAGAGGUAUUCUGCAAUACAAUCUUAAGAAUGUUUGGUCAGAAAUAAAGUCCAUAUCAUUUAGUAAUUUUAGUAAUAUCAUUUAGAAUUCUGCGCUAAAUUACACUAUCAUGGUUGAAAUACAUAGAACUGUAGCUUCAGCUUCAUCCUUUUUUUCUGUAGCUGCAGCUAGUUUUUUAAAGUAAAAUGUCUUUUUAGAGUGAUUUUUCUGUGUUAGUGUUGGCAAUUCGUUAUAUCCUUAGCGAUAGCCUAAAAAUGCAAAUGUAUAUAUUGUUACUGUUAUGAAUGAUGUUAAGAAAGACAAUCAGAUUAAAAUAUCUAAAAUCCA